AAGAAGAGGGAAGAAGUACUAGAGCUUGCUUACUUUUUCUCUUCUCUCCGCCAUGUGCAGAUGCAACUAGAAGACAGCUGUUCGCAAACCAGGAAUAGGGCCCUCAUCAGACGCUGGAUCUGCGGGUACAUUACAAUUGGACUUCUCAGCUUGGAAAGGGAUCAUGCUGUCAGGCUUGGAAGAAAUACCUCCUUUUCUCCAGUCUUUCCUUCAGUUCUGCUGGAAUUGGCAUUUUAAUAUCUUUAAUUUCAUUUGAUUUAUAGUAUUUAAUUUGCCUUUGCUAGAUUUGUAAAAUAUGUUAUGAUUUUCUACUUAAUUACUUCUUAUUAAUCAAAGUAUAUAUUUCUUUCAGCCUAUGCUCAUUGUCCAGGAAGAAGGAAAUCACUAAUACUGUAUUCUACAACUAUAUUAUUUCAGAGUUUUCAAUCCUUUUCUAUGGCUACAUAUAAGAAAGCAUUUCAUUCUUUGUGGUCCCUUGAAUGGCAUUGAACUGGUCAAGUGAUUGUUUUUGAUAAGUUCUAUAGAUCUGUGCUUAGGCACUUAACAGGAUGCAAUCAGGGUACACUGAGAUUUGCUAUGUAAGAGCCUCUGUAAUUAAAAUGAUGUAUAGUUACAUCUCUAAAUAUAAUGGUUUCUACUGAUAAAACACUUUUCUAUAUAUUUCAAUAAAAUUGCAGAGCUUAUAAAAUUGAAUUAAUAUAAUGUGAUAGAAACACAGAUGUUAUUGAAAUAAAAUGAUUGUAUGUUUGUAUAUUCUUCUUUAUCUUUGUGAUUUACUCAUUUUAUUGGAUAGUUACAGUUGCUGCCUUUAAACAUGUCUGCCCUUAGGGCUCUGUGUACAAAAACACGAAUUGAGGAUAUUUUUAUAGUAUU
rnacentral:lncRNA from 10 species